rnacentral:rRNA from 1 species
CCCUUAGAUGUUCUGGGCAGCACGCGCGCUACAAUGGUCUUCGCAAACGGAUGCAUUCUCGAAGGAGAAUGCCAAUCUUGGAAUCUAUGCCUUGGUCGGGACAGUUGCUUGCAAUUUUUCGACUCGAACCAGGAAUUCCUUGUAAUCGUGAUUCAUCACAUCACGAUGAAUACGUCCCUGCCCUUUGUACACACCGCCCGUCGCUCCUACCGAUCGAAGAGUUAGGUGAAUUGUUUUGAUCGAUAAGAUUCGACUAUGGUCAACUCUCGUUGUGAAAUUCUGUGAAUCUGACUGUUUAGAGGAAGGAAAAGUCGUAACA